rnacentral:pre_miRNA from 1 species
UGUGUACUCCCUCCAUUCCAAAAUACUUGACUUCCAUUUGUCAAAAAAUGGAUGUACCUAUAUACUAAAACAUGUCUAGAUACAUAUAUAUUUUGACAAAUAGAAGGCAUGUAUUGUGCAACGGAGGGAGUAGAAU